rnacentral:rRNA from 1 species
GACGAACGCUGGCGGCGUGCUUAACACAUGCAAGUCGAACGCGUGGCGAACGGGUGAGUAACACGUGGGUGAUCCGGCUUGCACUUCGGGAUAAGCUUGGGAAACUGGGUCUUAUACCGGAUAGUGCAAGAUGUGCUCGCGGGCUAUCGGCUUGUUGGUGGGGUAAUGGCUACGCAGGCGCGACGGGCAGCCGGCCUGAGAGGGUGUACGGGCACCUUGGGACUGCGAUACGGCCCAGACUCCUACGGGGGGCAGCAGUGGGGAAUAUUGUGCAAUGGGCGGACGCCUAAUGAAGCGACGCCGCGUGGGGGAUGAAGGCCGUCGGGUUGUAAACUCCGUACAACAGGGACGCGUUACAUGUAUAAGAAGCACCGGCUAACUACGUGCCAGCAGCCGCGGUAAUUC